rnacentral:rRNA from 1 species
AAUAGAUACCCCGGUAGUCCACGCCGUAAACGAUGAGUGCUAAGUGUUGGGGGGUUUCCGCCCCUCAGUGCUGCAGCUAACGCAUUAAGCACUCCGCCUGGGGAGUACGGUCGCAAGACUGAAACUCAAAGGAAUUGACGGGGGCCCGCACAAGCGGUGGAGCAUGUGGUUUAAUUCGAAGCAACGCGAAGAACCUUACCAGGUCUUGACAUCCCGGUGACCACUAUGGAGACAUAGUUUCCCCUUCGGGGGCAACGGUGACAGGUGGUGCAUGGUUGUCGUCAGCUCGUGUCGUGAGAUGUUGGGUUAAGUCCCGCAACGAGCGCAACCCUUAUUCUUAGUUGCCAUCAUUCAGUUGGGCACUCUAAGGAGACUGCCGGUGAUAAACCGGAGGAAGGUGGGGAUGACGUCAAAUCAUCAUGCCCCUUAUGACCUGGGCUACACACGUGCUACAAUGGACGGUACAAACGGUUGCCAACCCGCGAGGGGGAGCUAAUCCGAUAAAACCGUUCUCAGUUCGGAUUGUAGGCUGCAAUUCGCCUACA